GCCUCGGCCUCCCAAAGUGCUGGGAUUACAGGCGUGAGCCACCACGCCCGGCCCUUUUUUUUAAGAAUUACAGUGUUGACAAUGAGGCAAGCAUUUGCAUAAGCUGUUGGUAGAAUGUAAAUUAAUGCCUUUCUGGAAUGUACUUUGUGGGGUUUUCUUGUCCCAUAAUUUAAAAAAUAGCUUUGUUAAAGUAUAAUUGACAUACAGUAAACUGCAUAUAUUUAAAGUAUACAGUUAGGUCAGUUUUGAGACACACACACACACCCCUGUGAAACCACAAUCAAGGUAGUGAAUAUAUCUAUCACCUCUAAAAGAUUCCUGUCUUUGGUUUUUCCUCUGUCUCCUAGAAACCACUGAUCUAUGGCACACAUAGGAAAAGCUUUAGGAAAGAUAUUAAAUGCUAAUUUUGUGUGAGAUACCCCAAUAUGUUUUUUCAGAAUCCUUAAUGAGAAGCUUGAUCUUGCUCUAGAUAUAAGUUAUAAAAUUGUAUUCUUUAACUGGCUACAUGCAAUUCAUUUUUGUUAUUUUUUUAAUCUUAAUUUUUAGUUUUUUAAAGAUGGGAUCCUGCUAUGUUACCCGGGCUGGCCUCAAACUCCUGGGCUCAAGGGAUCCUCCUGCCUCAGCUCCCCAAGUAGAUAGGAUUUAUUAUAGGUGCAAGCCACUGUGCCCACGUCAGUUCUUGAUUGAGACAUUUUAUUCAGUUCUCUGAAUUCUCAGUAGUUACCAUUGAAUAGAAACUUCCUUUAUACAAAGUUGAUGAAACGGUUUAGAACUUUUAAGAAACAUUGAAAAAUCAAAAAUUUUAUAUAUACAUAGCCUAACAAUUCUUCUUGUCAUUGACAAAAUGUGAUGGUAUUUUUUUGUGAUAAUACAAAUGGACCUCAAAUACAAUUGAAAUUUUCAUAUCAAGUAUUUCCAAAUAAUAAUGACAUUCCAAUUUAUAGAACAUUAUGCAUUGUGAGAGUAGUCACCCUGCAACUGUCUUGGACAUCUCUAAGCAAAUAGAGGCUUCUGUAAGAUAGAGAUUUGGGGCAUCUACUUGGAAAUUGUACCUACAAGGAGCUGGCAUUUCUCAAAUCAGCUCUGUCUCCUACUCUUUAUUUAUAGGGCCUGAGAGUGGACCAUCAGACUACCCUGUUUGGGCUGCCUUCUAGGGAGACCUAGGUGUGGAGCUUGCUGACCAGGAGGGCUGUGGCUGCCUGGAAGACAGAAGAUGGCUAUCUCUUAACAUACUUGUAACCCAUUUGUGCACACAGAUGUACCUACUUGAAAUUGGGAAGGCCAAACGAGAUGGAGAUAAUGUUUCUGCCAACAAACAGCCAACAGAACUUGGAUUUUUCUAGAAUAGCAACAGCAGAGGCCCCCAGGUGUGGUGGCAGGACAAGGAGCAUCCGUUUUGCUGGUGGGGGUUGUAGUUAAGGUAAUGUGACUUCGGAGCUAGCAACUAGGCAGCAUCUUCUGACUUCCCAGCUUCCAGGCUGUAAGCAGAGAUAGUAGCGUCUCUUCUGGGCAGCCAGUUCUGUGAUGGUGUCCUGAGAGUCAUUCCUGGAAGUCUGACUAAAGGCUGCUCCUUCUACCCUUCCAUUCAGCUUGUAAGCAGGAGGCUUCUGUGCAUGACCAUAAACUAACAGAAGCACAUUGUGUCUAAGCUAGGUUACAGGGUUUCUGUUAUCAGCAAGUAAAUCCUGACACUACAAUAUAUGCACAUAUAUACGUUAUAGAGCAAAAAAAAAAAAAAAAAAUGGAUACUUUUCUUUAAAA